CCUACGGGGGGCAGCAGUGGGGAAUAUUGGACAAUGGGGGAAACCCUGAUCCAGCGACGCCGCGUGAGUGAAGAAGUAUCUCGGUACGUAAAGCUCUAUCAGCAGGAAAGAAAAUGACGGUACCUGACUAAGAAGCCCCGGCUAACUACGUGCCAGCAGCCGCGGUAAUACGUAGGGGGCAAGCGUUAUCCGGAUUUACUGGGUGUAAAGGGAGCGUAGACGGCAGCUCAAGUCUGGAGUGAAAUGCCGGGGCUCAACCCCGGAACUGCUCUGGAAACUGUGAAGCUGGAGUGCAGGAGGGGUAAGCGGAAUUCCUAGUGUAGCGGUGAAAUGCGUAGAUAUCAGGAGGAACACCGGCGGCGAAGGCGGCUUACUGGACUGUAACUGACGUUGAGGCUCGAAGGCGUGGGGAGCAAACAGGAUUAGAUACCCGGGUAGUC
rnacentral:rRNA from 1 species